rnacentral:rRNA from 1 species
UACAGAGGGUGCAAGCGUUAAUCGGAAUUACUGGGCGUAAAGCGUGCGUAGACGGUUAUGUAAGUCGGGUGUGAAAGCCCCGGGGCUCAAACCCUGGGAAUUGCAUUCGAAGACUGCAUAGCUAGGAUGCGGAAGAGGGAAGUGGAAUUUCCGGUGUAGCGGUGAAAUGCGUAGAUAUCGGAAGGAACAUCAGUGGCGAAAGCGACUUCCUGGUCCAGCAUCGACGUCAGGCACGAAAGCGUGGGGAGCAAACAGG